rnacentral:rRNA from 1 species
AUUGAACGCUGGCGGCAUGCCUUACACAUGCAAGUCGAACGGCAGCGCGGACUUCGGUCUGGCGGCGAGUGGCGAACGGGUGAGUAAUACAUCGGAACGUACCCUUUUGUGGGGGAUAACUAGUCGAAAGAUUAGCUAAUACCGCAUACGACCUGAGGGUGAAAGUGGGGGACCGGAAACGGCCUCAUGCAGCAGGAGCGGCCGAUGUCUGAUUAGCUAGUUGGUGGGGUAAAGGCCCACCAAGGCGACGAUCAGUAGCUGGUCUGAGAGGACGAUCAGCCACACUGGGACUGAGACACGGCCCAGACUCCUACGGGAGGCAGCAGUGGGGAAUUUUGGACAAUGGGGGCAACCCUGAUCCAGCAAUGCCGCGUGUGUGAAGAAGGCCUUCGGGUUGUAAAGCACUUUUGUCCGGAAAGAAAUCGCGCUGGUUAAUACCUGGCGUGGAUGACGGUACCGGAAGAAUAAGCACCGGCUAACUACGUG